GCUGGGCAUGGUGGCUCAUGCCUGUAAUCCCAGCACUUUGGGAGGCCGAGACGGGUGGAUCACCUGAGGUCAGGAGUUCACGACCAGCCUGGCCAACAUGGUGAAACCCCAUCUCUA
rnacentral:SRP_RNA from 1 species